rnacentral:rRNA from 1 species
GAAUGUCAAAUUUCUAGUAUGAGAAAUUAACGAUUUAAGUCCUUCUUAAAUGAGGCCAUUUACCCAUAGAGGGUGCCAGGCCCGUAUAACGUUAAUGAUUAUUAGAUGACAUUUCCAAAGAGUCGUGUUGCUUGAUAGUGCAGCACUAAGUGGGUGGUAAACUCCAUCUAAAACUAAAUAUAACCAUGAGACCGAUAGUAAACAAGUACCGUGAGGGAAAGUUGAAAAGAACUCUGAAUAGAGAGUUAAAUAGUACGUGAAACUGCUUAGAGGUUAAGCCCGAUGAACCUGAAUAUCCAAUAUAGAAAAUUCAUCAUUAUGAUUUAAAUAUUUUUAUAAUAUUAUAAUAAUAGUGUGCAUUUUUUCUAUAAAGGACAUUGUAAUCUAUUAACAUAAAUAUAAUUUAUCAUAAGAUCAAUUGGCAAAAGUUUAUUCAAAUUAUUUUGCUUGCAAUUUAACAUAGAAUAAAUGUCAUUGAUUUGAUAAAGUGUUGAUAGAUUUAUUUGUAUAUAGUGCUUGAAUAUAAUAUAUUCUAUAAUAGCAUAUUAAUUAUUAAUUUUUAUGUUUAUUAUAUGCACUUAUAUGAUUAACAAUGCGAAAGAUUCAGGAUACCUUCGGGACCCGUCUUGAAACACGGACCAAGGAGUCUAACAUAUUUGCAAGUUAUUGGGAAUAAAAACCUAAUAGCGAAAUUAACAUAACUUAAAUUUGGGAUUAGUUUUUAGCCUAUUUAUAGUCUAUUAAUUCAAUCCCGGGGCGUUCUAUACAGUUAUGUAUAAUAAUAUUUAUAUUAUUUAUACCUCUAACUAGAGCGUACCUUGAGCAUAUAUGCUGUGACCCGAAAGAUGGUGAACUAUACUUGAUCAGGUUGAAGUCAGGGGAAACCCUGAUGGAAGACCGAAACAGUUCUGACGUGCAAAUCGAUUGUCAGAAUUGAGUAUAGGGGCGAAAGACCAAUCGAACCAUCUAGUAGCUGGUUCCCUCCGAAGUUUCCCUCAGGAUAGCUGGUGCAUUUAAAAAUUAUGUAAAAUAAUCUUAUCUGGUAAAGCGAAUGAUUAGAGGCCUUAGGGUCGAAACGACUUUAACCUAUUCUCAAACUUUAAAUGGGUAAGAACCUCACCUUUCUUGGUAUGAAGGUAGUGGUUGUGAUAUAAUGUGCCCAGUGGGCCACUUUUGGUAAGCAGAACUGGCGCUGUGGGAUGAACCAAACGUAAUGUUACGGUGCCCAAAUUAACAACUCAUGCAGAUACCAUGAAA